rnacentral:rRNA from 1 species
CCUACGGGGGGCUGCAGUGGGGAAUCUUGCACAAUGGGGGCAACCCUGAUGCAGCGACGCCGCGUGAGCGAUGAAGCCCUUCGGGGUGUAAAGCUCUUUCGGCCGGAACGAUGAUGACGGUACCGGCAGAAGAAGCUGCGGCUAACUACGUGCCAGCAGCCGCGGUAAUACGUAGGCAGCGAGCGUUGUUCGGAGUUACUGGGCGUAAAGAGUGCGUAGGCGGUGCUCUAAGUUUGGUGUGAAAUCUCCCGGCUCAACUGGGAGGGUGCGCCGAAAACUGGAGUGCUCGAGUGUGGGAGAGGUAAGCGGAAUUCCUGGUGUAGCGGUGAAAUGCGUAGAUAUCAGGAGGAACACCUGCGGUGUAGACGGCUUACUGGACCAUGACUGACGCUGAGGCACGAAAGCGUGGGUAGCAAACAGGAUUAGAUACCCCUGUAGUCC